AGCGAACGCUGGCGGCAGGCCUAACACAUGCAAGUCGAGCGGCCGUAGCAAUACGGCAGCGGCAGACGGGAUAGUAACACGUGGGAACGCGCCCUUCGGUUCGGAAUAACUCAGGGAAACUUGAGCUAAUACCGGAUACGCCCUUACGGGGAAAGAUUUAUUGCCGAAGGAACGGCCCGCGUCGGAUUAGCUAGUUGGUGAGGUAAUGGCUCACCAAGGCGACGAUCCGUAGCUGGUCUGAGAGGAUGACCAGCAUCACUGGGACUGAGACACGGCCC
rnacentral:rRNA from 1 species